GCAUUAGUGGUUCAGCGGUAGAAUUCUAUCCUUCCAUGUGGGAGACCCAGGUUCGAUUCUUGGCCAAUAUA
rnacentral:tRNA from 1 species